rnacentral:rRNA from 1 species
UAAGCGGAGGAAAAGAAACUAACUAGGAUUUCCUUAGUAGCGGCGAGCGAACAGGAAAGAGCCCAGCACCGAAUCCCGCGGCCGGUAUCGGACGCUGGGAAAUGUGGUGUUUAGGAGAAUCCGUUCAUCCCGGGGUUAUGCAGCGCGUCCAAGUCCAUCUUGAAUGGGGCCAUUUACCCAUAGAGGGUGCCAGGCCCGUAGCGACCGUUGCUUAUCCCGGGAGGAUUUUUCCUUAGAGUCGGGUUGCUUGAGAGUGCAGCUCUAAGUGGGUGGUAAACUCCAUCUAAGGCUAAAUAUGACCACGAGACCGAUAGCGAACAAGUACCUUGAGGGAAAGUUGAAAAGAACUUUGAAGAGAGAGUUCAAUAGUACGUGAAACCGUUCAGGGGUAAACCUGAGAAACCCGAAAGAUCGAAUGGGGAGAUUCAGUACUUCUCGACGCCGGCCUUCGCUCGGUGCGAGAUGCGGCGGGAUCCGUCUCGCUUCACUCCGCCGGGUGUCAUGCGCUCGGCGACGAACGUAUGCAUUUCUCCCCUAGUAGGACGUCGCGACCCGUUGGGCGUCGGUCUAAGGCCCGCGAGGUAGCCUGUCUCGUGUCUCGCGGCACGGGGCAGACCCGCGGUGUUCCCGGCCGACUGCUCGACGGUAGCCUAUGGUACAGGGCCGCUUAAAUGCGUCUCGGCCCCGCGCAAGUCGCAACGGUGUUUCGGAUUCGGACUCGUCCGUCCCGGACCCGUUCGGCCCAUCGCGCGGGUGUCCUCGGACAGACUCUGUUACCGGUCGGCGACGCUAUUGCUUUGGGUACUUUCAGGACCCGUCUUGAAACACGGACCAAGGAGUCUAGCAUGUGCGCGAGUCAUUGGGAUUUAACAAAACCUAAAGGCGCAAUGAAAGUAAAGGUUCGCUCAAGCGAACUCAGGGAAGACGGAUCGCGUUUCGAUGCGAUCCCGCACUCCCGGGGCGUCUCACUCUCAUUGCGAGAAGGGGCGCACCCAGAGCGUACACGCUGGGACCCGAAAGAUGGUGAACUAUGCCUGGUCAGGUCGAAGUCAGGGGAAACCCUGAUGGAGGACCGUAGCGAUUCUGACGUGCAAAUCGAUCGUCGGAACUGGGUAUAGGGGCGAAAGACUAAUCGAACCAUCUAGUAGCUGGUUCCCUCCGAAGUUUCCCUCAGGAUAGCUGGCACUUAUGUUUGAAACUUUUACGAGUCUCAUCCGGUAAAGCGAAUGAUUAGAGGCCUUGGGGCCGAAACGACCUCAACCUAUUCUCAAACUUUAAAUGGGUGAGAUCUCUGGCUUGCUUGAACGUGAAGCCAGAGAUUUGGAUCAGAGUGCCAAGUGGGCCACUUUUGGUAAGCAGAACUGGCGCUGUGGGAUGAACCAAACGCCGAGUUAAGGCGCCUAAACGACGCUUAUGGGAUACCAUGAAAGGCGUUGGUUGCUUAAGACAGUAGGUCUGUGGCCAUGGAAGUCGGAAUCAGCUAAGGAGUGUGUAACAACUCACCUGCCGAAGCAACUAGCCCUGAAAAUGGAUGGCGCUGAAGCGUCGUGCCUAUACUCGGCCGCCAGAGGCAAGUGGAACGUUCGCAAGAUCGUUAUGAAGCCCUGGCGAGUAGGAGGGUCGCGGCGGUGUGCGCAGAAGGGUCUGGGCGUGAGCCUGCCUGGAGCCGCCGUCGGCGCAGAUCUUGGUGGUAGUAGCAAAUACUCCAGCGAGGCCCUGGAGGACUGACGUGGAGAAGGGUUUCGUGUGAACAGUUGUUGCACACGAGUCAGUCGAUCCUAAGCCCUAGGAGAAAUCCGAUGUCGAUGUUGGUGUAUCUUAUUCAAUGCAAAUUUUAUAAUGUAUCACACCCAUCGGGCGAAAGGGAAUCCGGUUCCUAUUCCGGAACCCGGCAGCGGAACCGUUAACUAGUCGGGCCCUCGCAAGAGAGUUCGUCGGGGCAACCCAAAAUGGCCUGGAGACGCCGUCGGGAUAUCCGGGAAGAGUUUUCUUUUCUGCAUAAGCGUUCGAGUUCCCUGGAAUCCUCUAGCAGGGAGAUAGGGUUUGGAACGCGAAGAGCACCGCAGUUGCGGCGGUGUCCGGAUAUUCCCCUCGGACCUUGAAAAUCCAGGUGAGGGCCACGUGGAGGUGUCGCGCCGGUUCGUACCCAUAUCCGCAGCAGGUCUCCAAGGUGAAGAGCCUCUAGUC